rnacentral:rRNA from 1 species
GAUGAACGCUGGCGGCGUGCCUAAUACAUGCAAGUCGAGCGAACAGACGAGGAGCUUGCUCCUCUGACGUUAGCGGCGGACGGGUCAGUAACACGUGGAUAACCUACCUAUAAGACUGGGAUAACUUCGGGAAACCGGAGCUAAUACCGGAUAAUAUAUUGAACCGCAUGGUUCAAUAGUGAAAGACGGUUUUGCUGUCACUUAUAGAUGGAUCCGCGCCGCAUUAGCUAGUUGGUAAGGUAACGGCUUACCAAGGCAACGAUGCGUAGCCGACCUGAGAGGGUGAUCGGCCACACUGGAACUGAGACACGGUCCAGACUCCUACGGGAGGCAGCAGUAGGGAAUCUUCCGCAAUGGGCGAAAGCUUGACGGAGCAACGCCGCGUGAGUGAUGAAGGUCUUCGGAUCGUAAAACUCUGUUAUUAGGGAAGAACAAAUGUGUAAGUAACUAUGCACGUCUUGACGGUACCUAAUCAGAAAGCCACGGCUAACUACGUG